CUCUCUUUGUACGGCUGUGGAGAUAAGCAUGGCCUAGCUGAGCUAGCAGCUGGUUCUUGGUUAUAUAAAGAGAGAUAGCUAGGAUCAAGAGAGAGGCAGAUGGCAUGGAGAGGUGUUGCAAUGUGCAUUGGAUGUGUAGAUAGAACCUGCAGAUCUCGAUCGAUCUCUUCAAGUCCAUGCCAUACCUUUCCACAGCUUUCUUGAACUUCUCUUGUGCCUC
rnacentral:precursor_RNA from 1 species